UACCUCAUAGAUUGCCACCACAUUAUAUAUAUAUUUUAGUACUCUAUAUAAUAUAUGAAUUCGAACGUGCAUCUUCUCGACGCAUUGAGCACGUAAAGAACCACGUGAACGACAAAGCGAAAGGAAAACACACUGAUUUUAAUUAAUAACUUAAUUCUUCAUUGUCUCUCGCUCCCACUACAGAAACUAUUCUUGGCAAGGGAGGCACUUUUUAGUAGAGACGACUCAAUCAAAAACCACCUCUACCCACUAGAAAAAUCGAUUUUUAAACACAGCUGGGAUGAUAUAUGUUUGUCUCUAAAAACGCUCCUAUCUUUAGAGCCAACUGGAUCUACAGUUGUCUAUCUUUAGAUGCAGUACAAUAAAAAAUAUUUUUAAACAAUUCACUAUAUACCUAGAUCUCAUAAUCACUGACGGGUCAGAAAGCCCCCAUCACUACUAGAAUCCAUGCCAAAAGAGGGUAGUCGGCGGUGAUGGAGCUGGUAUAUGAUCACAUGUGAGAUGAAGUGAGAGGUAUGACUAUUGUACGGGAUAACUUUCGUGAAAUGUCUCCAAAUUUUUAACAUAGCCUCUACACAUGUGACGUCAAGACGUGUUGCCAGGUUUCAUGAUUUUUGAACUUCAUCUGUAUUUUAUAUAAUUAAAAUGCAUUUCUCUCGUAAGUUUGUCGCCAUGUUUCGUAUAUAAGAUUUUCAAAAUUUCAGGCGUGCUCGUGGAAAUGGCGUCAAACUACAAUACAUAUCGUGAAUAUCAUUUUUAGAAUUGUCAAAUUCUAUGAUUCGAUGCACCUGCAGUUAAAACUUCCAUUUUUCGGAAAAAUACGUUUAAAUAAAAUAAAUUAAAGAUAUAUGCCAAAUAUGUCGAGAAAUAUGCCAAUGUUUACCAUGCAUAUCAAAAUAAUGUGUAAAGAGAAAAGAAAAUAGUUUGGAGGCCAAAAAAAAUCUUUACCGAGUGCCUUAAGAUGACACUCGGCAAAGAAAUAUAAAAAAUAAAAAUCCUUUGCCGAGUGUCCGGUCGGGUGGCACUCGGCAAAGAAAACAAUUAAAAAAGGCUUUUCCAAGUGGUAUAUGUGGCGACACUCGGCAAAGUAAUUAAAAAAAAUAAAAAACCCUCUGUCGAGUGUCAAAUUGCGGGUACUUGGCUUUGGCCCUUAAAGUGUCAGAUACCAGCCGCAGCCCCCCAUUCCCUACCUGUGCCGCCCGGCGCCACCGCCGCCACGCCCAGCCGCCACCUCCCCGGCCCCGGCCCUGCUGCCACUGCCGCGCUCGGCCCUAGCCCUGGCCCUCAGCCUCCUCGUCGCCCCGCGCAGCCCCGUCCGCCC
rnacentral:lncRNA from 1 species